GAACCUUACCUGGCCUUGACAUACUAAGAACUUUCCAGAGAUGGAUUGGUGCCUUCGGGAACUUAGAUACAGGUGCUGCAUGGCUGUCGUCAGCUCGUGUCGUGAGAUGUUGGGUUAAGUCCCGCAACGAGCGCAACCCUUUUCCUUAUUUGCCAGCGGGUUAAGCCGGGAACUUUAAGGAUACUGCCAGUGACAAACUGGAGGAAGGCGGGGACGACGUCAAGUCAUCAUGGCCCUUACGGCCAGGGCUACACACGUGCUACAAUGGUCGGUACAAAGGGUUGCUACCUCGCGAGAGGAUGCUAAUCUCAAAAAGCCGAUCGUAGUCCGGAUCGCAGUCUGCAACUCGACUGCGUGAAGUCGGAAUCGCUAGUAAUCGCGGGUCAGAAUGCCGCGGUGAAUACGUUCCCGGGCCUUGUACACACCGCCCGUCACACCAUGGGAGUUUGUUGCACCAGAAGUAGGUAGUCUAACCGCAAGGAGGACGCUUACCACGGUGUGGCCGAUGACUGGGGUGAAGUCGUAACAAGGUAGGCGUAGAUGA
rnacentral:rRNA from 1 species